rnacentral:rRNA from 1 species
AACGAACGCUGGCGGCAUGCCUAACACAUGCAAGUCGAACGAGACCUUCGGGUCUAGUGGCGCACGGGUGCGUAACGCGUGGGAAUCUGCCCUUGGGUUCGGGAUAACAGUUGGAAACGACUGCUAAUACCGGAUGAUGUCUUCGGACCAAAGAUUUAUCGCCCAGGGAUGAGCCCGCGUCGGACUAGCUAGUUGGUGAGGUAAAGGCUCACCAAGGCGACGAUCCGUAGCUGGUCUGAGAGGAUGAUCAGCCACACUGGGACUGAGACAAGGCCCAGACUCCUACGGGAGGCAGCAGUGGGGAAUAUUGGACAAUGGGCGAAGGCCUGAUCCAGCAAUGCCGCGUGAGUGAUGAAGGCCUUAGGGUUGUAAAGCUCUUUUACCCGGGAUGAUAAUGACAGUACCGGGAGAAUAAGCCCCGGCUAACUCCGUGCCAGCCGCCGCAGUAACAC